rnacentral:misc_RNA from 1 species
CAGAGUUGCAAAACUCCCAACCCUUUGUGAACGUACUGAAAAGUUGCUUCGGCGGGAGGCUCCUCAGGGAGCGGACCGCCGGAGGAAUCCAAACUCUUGUUUUAUUGGAAUCUUCUGAGUAGCUAUACAAUAAGUCA